UUGUCUUUUAAAUAAAGACCAGUAUGAAUGGCAAGACGAAAGUUCAACUGUCUCCCUAAAUUAAUCAGUGAAAUUGAUUUCUCCGUGCAGAAGCGGAGAUAUAAUUAUAAGACGAGAAGACCCUAUGGAGCUUUAAACAUAUAAUCAAUUGUAUUUCAUAAAAUCCGAAAGAUAAAAUAUAAAAUAAAACAAUAUGAUUAAAAUUUUAGGUUGGGGCGACCACGGAGAAAAACAAAACCUCCGAGAUGAAAAGAAUAUCUUAAUUUAAGAACUACAAUUCCAAAAAAUAAAAUAUUUAACAUAAUUGAUCCAAUAUUUUGAUCAACGAACCAAGUUACCCUAGGGAUAACAGCGCAAUCCUCUCCAAGAGUCCCUAUCGACGAGUGGGUUUACGACCUCGAUGUUGGAUCAGGACACCCCGAUGGUGCAGCCGCUAUUAAAGGUUCGUUUGUUCAACGAUUAAAGU
rnacentral:rRNA from 1 species